rnacentral:sRNA from 1 species
CUGGGCUCAAGUGAUCCUCACACCUCGGCCUCCCAAAGUGUUGGGAUUGCAGGUGUGAACUACCCCGCCCAGCCUAGGCCCACUUUUAAAAUGUUAAUUAAGAAGAAAACAUUUUUUCCUCACCAUAACUAAAGGAACUGACAACAUGAGCCUAGUUAGUAAUAACUUAAAGUUGAGAUUGUUUUAACUAUCAUAAAUAAUUUCUUUUCAAGAAGAUAUAAUACAAGUUUUCUAUUUAUAAAUUUUUAUAGAGUAACAUGUUAGUGACUAGCCUGAAUAAAUAAGUUCCAAAAGGUUAGUUUUAAUGAUAAUUUCUUAUCUUACAGGUGAAACAUCCGGUUACUGGGCAAUCUCUAUAUCAGGACAGCAACUGGGCCAGCAAAGUUGAGAAACUCACUUUAGACAAUGCUGCUUUCCCUUUCCUUGCAUAUUCUGGAAUCCCAGCAGUUUCUUUCUGUUUUUGUGAGGUAAGUCUGUUCAUUUAAAUGACAAAUGGAGAGAGGCUCUCUAAAAGGAAGUGAUCUUUAUUUGGGAAUAGGG